UACAGAGGUCUCAAGCGUUGUUCGGAUUCAUUGGGCGUAAAGGGUGCGUAGGCGGCGCGGUAAGUCGGGUGUGAAAUCUCGGAGCUUAACUCCGAAACUGCAUUCGAUACUGCCGUGCUUGAGGACUGGAGAGGAGACUGGAAUUUACGGUGUAGCGGUGAAAUGCGUAGAUAUCGUAAGGAAGACCAGUGGCGAAGGCGGGUCUCGUGGACAGUUCCUGACGCUGAGGCACGAAGGCUAGGGGAGCAAACGGG
rnacentral:rRNA from 1 species